CAUUAUCAGUGCCCAAACCAGCUUGUUAAAAAGAGUGAAACUCAAACCACAGUUUUGAAAAUUACAGAAUUCCUUCAUAAAUGCCCAACCCUCCCGGCGGCUACACUGGGUUCAGGCUUGAGCCCACCUGGACACUUCAGUGGAUUUCUCCCGUUCCUCCACGUCUGAAUUGGCAGAAAAACUGGGGCAGGAACGAUGAUGCUGAAGAAAUCCCACUUUGUUGUUUCUGUGCAGCUGCUUUUUAAUCUGCCUCAUGUGUGCCGUCCCAUCACCGAACCUGCGCCAACCUGGAUAAUAAAGUGUAAUUAUUCUCAGCUGCUCCCUCGUGUAAAAGUGUUAAAUUGCUUGAGUCCUGCAGCGUUCAGCUCAGAUCAGAUUGUUUCUUUAGAGAAUGGAGGUGGACAGCCAGUCCCUCUCCUCACUACACUGAAGUUGUGUAGUUGACACAGAGAUAAAGCGUUUGAUGCUGGACUCAGGAGUCAGAACGGACCAACACCAAACCACCAGUGCUUCACACACACACAGGCGGCUCAGCUUCACGCUCUGUGAGUUAUUCUAUGUUUUGCUUCGGAGGGAAAUUGGUGCACUUUGGCCAUAAUUGUUUCAAAACUGCCGGCUAAUUAUGACCUUUUGAAAACAAAGUGUACAGAUUGAAUGUGACAUUCUGCUGCGCCUGCAGAAUAUAAACGCCCCGGUGCACUGGCUGGAGCCCAGUAAAACCUAAUAAUGAAAACCAGCGUGUCCUAACCAUUGCUUUAACUGAAGUGGAAGGCUAUUUUCACAGGUUUCUGUCUCCCUGACCCACAGACGAGAAAAAGGAAAACACAGAGAAGUUCUCACUCAGAUUUUGUUGCUGCAGGUUUUCCGCUUCAUUGUGUAUCGUGCUGUUGUUGUGUUGCCAUGGUUAAGUGAUUCAAAGAUGAAAGUUCUCUCCUGGACCGGAUCAGUCGGCUUUGAAUCAUCCACGAGAUGGACGUCCUACAUGCUCCGGGUGCAGAGGGUCAAUCACACUCACAUAAACAACACAGUGUUUAUCAAUCCCUAAGCUGAUGUGGAAGAGUAAAGUGCAUUUAUAUCAUCAAA